UACGAAGGGGGCUAGCGUUGUUCGGAAUCACUGGGCGUAAAGCGCGCGUAGGCGGCUUUUUAAGUCAGGGGUGAAAUCCCGAGGCUCAACCUCGGAACUGCCUUUGAUACUGGAGAUCUUGAGUCCGGAAGAGGUAAGUGGAACUGCGAGUGUAGAGGUGAAAUUCGUAGAUAUUCGCAAGAACACCAGUGGCGAAGGCGGCUUACUGGUCCGGAACUGACGCUGAGGUGCGAAAGCGUGGGGAGCAAACAGG
rnacentral:rRNA from 1 species